UGUUCAAGUUGAUCCCAGCUAUCAACUACACAAGGCUCGGCAUUUCCCUUUAAGAAGCGGAUAAAAUAGUACUUGAUAAGAUAAUCUCGAUAAGUCCCAAUAGAUUUGCAUGUUUUAACGAAGUGUGCCAUCUAUUUUUUAGAAUUACCUUUCAAUAAAACUAUUGAAACUUCAGAGGUUUAUAGCCAGCCGGCAUCUUCAAGCUAUCAAUUCUUGAAGUGUAUGGUUUUACAUACACAAAGGAAGACUUGACAGCAACUUGUACUUAUCUUUGAUUGUUCCCUUAAUGAACUCCUUCAACCGAUCAAUUGCAACAAAGCAUUCAGAUGAUACUUACUGAUCCUUAGAAAGAGGCACUUGCCUUGUAGAUGAGUCUCAUUUAUCUUGCACCUCAAGAAGCUUUCCAUGUGCAUGACUUGUAUGUCCCUCCAUCAUGGUUUCAACUCUAUCUACCAUCUUGAUAAUCCGAUUAUCCUGAUCUUGCACAUUCUUCAUUAAGCCUUCAAUUACUUUCGUCAAUAAUUACAAGUUGCUCUUCAGUAGUUAAAGUGUUAGUUAUUGUUGGUUGGAUGGUCAUCAUGGAUGAUAGAGCAAAGCAUGAAUUUUUACCGUACAGUAAGUGAGCAACUCAUGUGGAGUGAUUGGGACAGAUCUGGUGUUGAAGGCAUCAUCAUCAUCAUCAUCUUAUGCGAUGGUAUCCUUAGAUCUUAGAUGGGCUAAGUAGUGCUAACGUCUUUUCGACCAUUUUACAAUUCAUUUAAGAAGUAUAUUUCCCCUUUUAAAGUUUGAGAACCAAAGAUAGGAAAUGAUGCGUACGACACUAGAAAUACAUGCUUUCCCAACAAGUUUGCUUUGUUCUAGAGAUAAGUCCUAGACUUAGUUGCCUCCAGUACACCUUCACGUCGGAGAAAAACUUGGAAUCGAUAGCCUUAGGAACAGAAAUUUGGAGGACCUUCGUACGAGCCAUUUCUUGAAUUUUGAAGGUUGCAGAGAAGAGAUGGUGCCACUGGACAUACCAAAAACUUAUCUAUUUCUCGUCCUUUUUAUUCAAGUCAAGAAGAAGGUUACAAGUUACAAAAUAUAAUAUGAAGAGUUGACUUGGACCGCAAUCUCCAUUAUGCUACUAAAUCUACAAAUGAUGGCCUCUGAUUCUUCUACUCACAAACAUUACUUCAAGAGCUCUUGGCUUGUUCUUGAAAAGACAAGAUCCGUCACAAGUAGUUUGAUGGCUGUUUACAAACUAAGAUCUGAGAUUUGGCUGCCACGAACGAAAGAUUUGGGGACACCCUCUUAGAUUCUUGACUUGCAGUUUUGUUUUUGGAUUGGAUCAUGAACGAAGACUCAAUGUAGAGAAGACUUUAAAUGUUUGCUUCAUAGCUUCUCCAGAUUUCUCCAACUUGCUUGAUGCAUUUCUCGUGUCCCAUUAACCUUAUGGGAACUCUCUAUUUAUAAUGGUAGAAUAGAAAAGUUGUGAUAAAGCCAAAUUAUUUGCUUUAGUUUGAUUCAUCAAUUUGAAUUAUGAAGCAACCUCAUGUUUUUACACGUGGC
rnacentral:lncRNA from 1 species